rnacentral:tRNA from 1 species
GAUCCAGCAUGGCUUAGUGGUUGGAGUAUUGGACUACAACUCUGGAGAGCAGGGUUCGAUUCCCUGCUUGGUCA